rnacentral:rRNA from 1 species
AGCGAACGCUGGCGGCAGGCCUAACACAUGCAAGUCGAACGGACCUUUCGGGGUUAGUGGCGGACGGGUGAGUAACACGUGGGAACGUGCCUUUUGGUUCGGAACAACUUGGGGAAACUUAAGCUAAUACCGGAUGUGCUCUUAGGGGGAAAGAUUUAUCGCCAUUAGAGCGGCCCGCGUCUGAUUAGCUAGUUGGUGGGGUAAAGGCCUACCAAGGCGACGAUCAGUAGCUGGUCUGAGAGGAUGAUCAGCCACAUUGGGACCGAGACGCGGCCCAAACUCCUACGGGAGGCAGCAGUGGGGAAUCUUGCGCAAUGGGCGAAAGCCUGACGCAGCCAUGCCGCGUGAAUGAUGAAGGUCUUAGGAUUGUAAAAUUCUUUCACCGGGGACGAUAAUGACGGUACCCGGAGAAGAAGCCCCGGCUAACUUCGUGCCAGCCGCCGCCGUAA